rnacentral:lncRNA from 1 species
GGGUGACAGAGGAACAAAAAACUGUUGAAAAUCAGGAAGAAGCUGAAGUGAAUGUGAUGGAAUGUAUGGCGGCGGAUGAGGCAGUAAUCAGUGGGCUAGAAGGUCCAGACAAAGGUCCAACCACUAUUAAAAUUCUUGGGAUCUUAAAAAAUGAGCAUGUGAUAAUUUUGGUGGAUUCUGGAGCAACCCAUAGUUUUCUGGACCCAGAAUUGGCUAAGAAAUUGCAAUUAAUUAUGCAACCCAUGAUUAGACCAAUGAAGGUGAGAGUAGCCAAUGGUGUAUUAUGUGGAGUAAUAUUUUUUGUCCUAAAGUUAUUUGGCAAAUGCAAGGGGAGGUUUUCGGAUUUGACAUAAGGUUGAUGAAGGUUGGGGGUUGCGACUUAGUAUUAGGAAUUGAUUGGAUAGAUGUGAUAGCCCCUAUGGUUAUUAACACUAGACCUUAUAGUAUUUCGUUCAUACAGGGAAAUCGAAUAGUAACAUUGGUGGGAUUUCCAGAUUCCCAGGCCAUGGCCCAAAUAGACACUCGUUUGAUUUCUAGACUUUUAAAUAGGGGAGGAUGCAAUUGGGUAGCCCAAACUUAUCAAAUGGAAGUUAGUGGGCCACAUGAAGAAAUAAUUCUCAGUUCAGUAGAAGACAUUUUGUUAGAAAAUGCAGAAGUGUUCCUUGAACCUACUAAAUUACCCCCAAUCCGCUCAUGUGAUCAUGCGAUAAAGUUGAUUCCAGGUUCAACACCAGUAAACCAGAGGCCUUACAGAUAUUCACAUGAACAAAAAGAUGUUAUUGAAAAAAUGGUUCAAGAAAUGUUAAAGGCAAAAACAGUAAAGUACAGUACAUCGCCCUUUGCCUCUCCAGUCAUUCUUGUCAAGAAAAAGGAUUCAACAUAGAGAUUGUGUGUGGAUUACCGGAGACUCAAUGAUAUUACCAUAAAAAAUACUUAUCCUAUUCCGGUGGAGGAGGAUUUGCUUGACGAACUUUAUGGUGCAUAUUAUUUUUCAAAAUUAGACUUGAAAUCGGGGUGUCACCAAAUCCGUAUGAAGGAGGGUCAUGAACAUAAAACGGCUUUUAAAACACACCAUGGGUUGUGAGAAUUCGCCGUGAUGCCGUUUGAUUUGACAAAUGCACAGGCAACAUUCCAAGCUCUUAUGCACUAGAUUUUUGGUCCUUACCUAAGGAAGUUCGUGUUGGUGUUCAUUGAUGAUAUUGUGUAUAUAGCACUACUCUUACGGAACAUUUAGAACAUUUGAGAGUAGUAUUUAGAUUGUUGUCCAUGCACCAAUUGUAUGCUAAACGUACUAAGUGUAGCUUUGCGCAACCCAAAGUUGAAUACUUGGGCCAUGUCAUCAAGGGAGAAGGAGUUUGUACAGAUGAAGCCAAAAUUGAGGCUAUGAUCAGUUGGCCUAGGCCGAAGUGCAUCAAAGGGUUACGGGGUUUUUUUGGAUUAACUGGUUAUUGGAGGAAAGUGUUGCUUACCCUGGGCUAUUACAACCCUUACCAAUUCCGAAAAAAUCUUGGGAACAUAUAUCCAUGGAUUUCAUUGAAGGAUUGCCCAAAUCACAAGGAAAGGAGGUCAUAUUAGUGGUCAUUGACAGGUUUACCAAAUAUGCACAUUUCAUUGUAGUUUUGCACCCUUACAAUGCUGCUCAAAUUGCUCAGGUUUUCUUAGAUCAUGUUUGCAAAUUACAUGGGGCUCUAUGUUCUAUUGUCUCUGACCGCGACCCUAUUUUUCUGAGCUUGUUCUAGCAGUAACUCUUUAAAAUCUAGCAAGUAGAGUUAAAAUUAAGCUCAGCUUAUCACCCACAAACCGACGGGCAAACUUAAAGGUUGAAUCGCUGUUUGGAGUCUUAUCUCAGAUGCAUGACAUGUCAAAAACCUAAAGAAUGGAGUAAAUGGCUUCCAUUGGCAGAGUUUUGGUACAAUGCCAAUUUCCAAUCAGCAAUUAACAUGACUCCUUUUAAGGCUCUUUAUGGUUAUGAACCACCUCUGCCGACAUUCGAAUUGGUUGCACAAUCCAAGGUUGAAGCAGUUGAUCAACUAUUGAAAGACAGAGAAAUUGUGAACGAACAAUUGAAAGAAAACUUGGUUAAAGCUCAAAUUCGCAUGAAACAAUAUGCGAACAGCAAAAGGCGUGAACGAACCUUUGAGAUAGGGGAUCUAGUCUUCACCAAACUUCAACCGUAUCGCCAGACUUCAGUGGCUGCCCGAAAAAAUCUGAAAUUGGCUUCUAAAUUUUUUGGUCCAUAUCCAGUGAUUAAGAGAAUCAGCCCAAUGGCCUAUGAAUUACAAUUACCAGCUGAACCUCGAAUCCAUCCUAUUUUUCACGUCUCUCAACUAAAAAAGAAGGUUGGACCCAAGAUUUUCCCAAUUAAAGAACCACCUUUCAGCAUGCCGGAGGGGCAACUAGUGGCAGAACCGAUUGCAAUUUUGGAUCGGCGCAUGAUAAAAAGGGGAAACCACGCGGUGACACAAGUUGUGGUCUAGUGGGCUAAUCUAGCUCCAGAAGAUGCGACAUGGGAAGACUUUUCGUUCCUCACCUCGCAAUUUCCAGAUUUUCAACCUUGAAGAUCAAGGUUCUGAAAGGGGAAUGGAAUGUUGUGGUUAUUGAAAUUAGGUUAUUUUGUUAAGAUUCAAUCCUAGUAAAUUGAGCUCUAGUCCCUUUACUUCGUAGCCGGUCUUUUUAGUCUAGGUGUUGUUGUCUCAUUUUUGAGUCGACACAUGUCUUAUCCUUGUUCUAAAUAGUCGUUAGUCAUAAUACCUAGGCUGUCUAUUGUUCAUUGGUUGAGGAAUCUUCAUAGCUGUUAAAGAAUGGGAUUAUAUAUACCAGCCUAGUCAA